rnacentral:rRNA from 1 species
GACGGUUCAGGCCUAGAACAUCAUGGCUCAGAUUGAACGCUGGCGGCAGGCCUAACACAUGCAAGUCGAGCGGUAGCACAGAGAGCUUGCUCUCGGGUGACGAGCGGCGGACGGGUGAGUAAUGUCUGGGAAACUGCCUGAUGGAGGGGGAUAACUACUGGAAACGGUAGCUAAUACCGCAUAACGUCGCAAGACCAAAGUGGGGGACCUUCGGGCCUCAUGCCAUCAGAUGUGCCCAGAUGGGAUUAGCUAGUAGGUGGGGUAAUGGCUCACCUAGGCGACGAUCCCUAGCUGGUCUGAGAGGAUGACCAGCCACACUGGAACUGAGACACGGUCCAGACUCCUACGGGAGGCAGCAGUGGGGAAUAUUGCACAAUGGGCGCAAGCCUGAUGCAGCCAUGCCGCGUGUAUGAAGAAGGCCUUCGGAUUGUAAAGUACUUUCAGCGAGGAGGAAGGCAUUAAGGUUAAUAACCUUGGCGAUUGACGUUACUCGCAGAAGAAGCACCGGCUAACUCCGUGCCAGCAGCCGCGGUAAUACGGAGGGUGCAAGCGUUAAUCGGAAUUACUGGGCGUAAAGCGCACGCAGGCGGUCUGUCAAGUCGGAUGUGACAUCCCCGGGCUCAACCUGGGAACUGCAUUCGAAACUGGCAGGCUAGAGUCUUGUAGAGGGGGGUAGAAUUCCAGGUGUAGCGGUGAAAUGCGUAGAGAUCUGGAGGAAUACCGGUGGCGAAGGCGGCCCCCUGGACAAAGACUGACGCUCAGGUGCGAAAGCGUGGGGAGCAAACAGGAUUAGAUACCCUGGUAGUCCACGCCGUAAACGAUAUCGACUUGGAGGUUGUGCCCUUGAGGCGUGGCUUCCGGAGCUAACGCGUUAAGUCGACCGCCUGGGGAGUACGGCCGCAAGGUUAAAACUCAAAUGAAUUGACGGGGGCCCGCACAAGCGGUGGAGCAUGUGGUUUAAUUCGAUGCAACGCGAAGAACCUUACCUACUCUUGACAUCCAGAGAACUUAGCAGAGAUGCUUUGGUGCCUUUGGGAACUCUGAGACAGGUGCUGCAUGGCUGUCGUCAGCUCGUGACGUGAAAUGUUGGGUUAAGUCCCGCAACGAGCGCAACCCUUAUCCUUUGUUGCCAGCGGUCCGGCCGGGAACUCAAAGGAGACUGCCAGUGAUAAACUGGAGGAAGGUGGGGAUGACGUCAAGUCAUCAUGGCCCUUACGAGUAGGGCUACACACGUGCUACAAUGGCAUAUACAAAGAGAAGCGACCUCGCGAGAGCAAGCGGACCUCAUAAAGUAUGUCGUAGUCCGGAUUGGAGUCUGCAACUCGACUCCAUGAAGUCGGAAUCGCUAGUAAUCGUAGAUCAGAAUGCUACGGUGAAUACGUUCCCGGGCCUUGUACACACCGCCCGUCACACCAUGGGAGUGGGUUGCAAAAGAAGUAGGUAGCUUAACCUUCGGGAGGGCGCUUACCACUUUGUGAUUCACUGGGAGGGGAACCUGCGGUUGGAUCACCUCGGGAUACUCCGA